rnacentral:rRNA from 1 species
UAAUUCUAGAGCUAAUAUUUUCAAAAAUGCCGUGACUUMGGAAGCGGCGGAUUUAUUAGAUCAAAAUCAACCUGUCGCAAGACGGUUCUUUGAUGAAUCUGGAUAACUUUACUGAUCGUACGACCUCUGUGUUGACGACAUAUCUCUUGAAAAGGCUGACCUAUCAACUUUCGAUGGUAAGAUCAAAGCUUACCAUGGUUGUAACGGGUAACGGGGAAUCAGUGUUCGAUUCCGGAGAGGGAGCCUGAGAAACGGCUACCACAUCUACGGAAGGCAGCAGGCGCGUAAAUUACCCAAUACCGGCUCGGUGAGGUAGUGACAAAAAAUAACAAUAUGGGCCCUAGUGGUUUCAUAAUUGCAAUGAGAACAUUUUAAAUACUUUAUCAAGUUUAGAGUGCUUAAAGCAGGCUGAUGCUUGUAUAUUGUUGCAUGGAAUAAUGAAAUAGGACUUCGGUUUUAUUUUGUUGGUUUUCYUAACUGAAGUAAUGAUUAAAAGAGACUGCCGGGGGCAUAUGUAUGCUGGCGUGAGAGGUGAAAUUUUUAGAUCGCCAGCAGACAAACUACUGCGAAAGCAUUUGCCAAGAAUGUUUUCAUUAAUCAAGAACGAAAGUCAGAGGAUYGAAGACGAUCAGAUACCGUCCUAGUUCUGACCAUAAACUAUGCCAACUGACAGUUAGUGAUGGUAGUAUUUAACGUCCUCACUAGAAGUCACCGGGAAACCUAAGUCUAUGGGUUCCGGGGGAAGUAUGGUUGCAAAGCUGAAACUUAAAGGAAUUGACGGAAGGGCACCACCAGGAGUGGAGCCUGCGGCUUAAUUUGACUCAACACGGGAAAUCUCACCCGGUCCGGACACUGUGAGGAUUGACAGAUUGAUAGCUCUUUCUUGAUUCGGUGGGUGGUGGUGCAUGGCCGUUCUUAGUUGGUGGAGCGAUUUGUCUGGUUAAUUCCGAUAACGAACGAGACUCUGACCUGCUAACUAGUCCACUCGUAAAUUCGAGCGAGUGCUGACUUCUUAGAGGAAUACGUGGCUUUUAGCUAAAUGAAAUAGAGCAAUAACAGGUCUGUGAUGCCCUUAGAUGUCCGGGGCCGCACGCGCGCUACAAUGGCAGUACCAGCGAGUUAUUAAGUCCUAGCUAGAAAUGGCCGGGUAAUCUGCUGAAACACUGUCGUGUCAGGAAUAGUGGUUUGAAAUUAUCCCACUUGAACGAGGAAUUCCUAGUAAGCGCAAGUCAUUAACUUGCGCUGAUUACGUCCCUGCCCUUUGUACACACCGCCCGUCGCUACU